rnacentral:snRNA from 1 species
AUACUUACCUGUACGGGGUCGACUCUUGAUCAUGAAGAAGAGUUGCCUAAGCUAGUGACUUCCAUUGACAUAAUGGAAGGGUGCUUAGCUUAAGGUCUCCCCAAGUGGGAGAGCCUGCGUCAUUAUUUGUGGGAAUGGAAGCCUGCGUUCGCGCGGCCUCUCC